UACGUAGGGGGCAAGCGUUGUCCGGAAUCAUUGGGCGUAAAGCGCGUGUAGGCGGUUCGGUAAGUCUGCUGUGAAAGUCCAGGGCUCAACCCUGGGAUGCCGGUGGAUACUGUCGGACUAGAGUACGGAAGAGGCGAGUGGAAUUCCCGGUGUAGUGGUGAAAUGCGUAGAUAUCUGGAGGAACAUCGGUGGCGAAGGCGGCAUCCUGGACCGGUAUUGACGCU
rnacentral:rRNA from 1 species